AUCUUUUUUAUUAAUAAGAUCUUUUAAAAAAAAUUAUGCUGUUAUCCCUAAGGUAAUUAAUUUUAUUAAUUUAAAAUUUAAGAUUAUUACCCAAUAAUUAUUGUUUUAAGUAAGAAAAAUUUAAAAAAUUUUCUAAUUACCCCAAUUAAAUUUAAUUUUAAAAUUUAUGUAAAUUAAUAAAAAUUUUUAAUUAAAAAAUUAAAUAAAAUUCUAUAGGGUCUUGUCGUCUUUUAAAUUAAUUUAAGUUUUUUUACUUAAAUAAUAAUUUAAAUACUUUUAAUUGAGAUAGAUUAUAUUUCAUUUAAUCAUUCAUUCAAGUUUUUAAUUAAAAAACAAAUUAUUAUGCUACCUUUGUACAGUUAUAAAUUCUGCAGCCAUYUAAKAUAAURUCAUU
rnacentral:rRNA from 1 species